UACGUAGGGGGCAAGCGUUGUCCGGAUUUAUUGGGCGUAAAGAGCGUGUAGGCGGCCAGGUAGGUCCGCUGUGAAAACUCGAGGCUCAACCUCGAGAUGUCGGCGGAAACCAUCUGGCUAGAGUCCGGAAGAGGAGAGUGGAAUUCCUGGUGUAGCGGUGAAAUGCGCAGAUAUCAGGAAGAACACCCGUGGCGAAGGCGGCUCUCUGGGACGGUACUGACGCUGAGAAGCGAAAGCAUGGGGAGCGAACAGG
rnacentral:rRNA from 1 species